AAUGUGUGGGCAUGUUAAUUUUAUGUUGUUCUAUCAAAUGCCUUACAGAAGUCUAAGUAUAUUACAUCAACACUAUUACAUCUAUCAGCCAAACUUGUCAUCGCAU